UGCCCGCCUCGGCCUCCCAAAGUGCUGGGAUUACAACAGGCGUGAGCCACUGCGCCCAGCCAGAGAUAUACUUUUAAAUGGAAGACUUGAACAUACUUUUGGCUGCACUGAAAGGUUGAAAAUAUGGGAAAGACAAGGGAUAACUGGUGGAGAACGUCUCAGAGUAGACACGAAGGGAUGGAUAGGAUCACACAAGCAGUGAAAUUGUAUAGGAAAAGAAAAAAGAUCUUUCUUACUAUGAGAGAGGGAUAUUAAGUCCCAAGACUGUUCAUUCAACAACCAUUUAUUGAAUAAACAUUUACUGAAUAUUUGCCAUAUACCAGGUACUGUGCAAAUGUCAGGGGAUACAAAUGAAUAACUCAGUCCCUGACUUCAAAGAGUUCGCAGCUUAGUGGGCAAAAUACAGUAACUGUAAUAUGUUCUAAGUACUAAUACGCCACAGUGGAAAGGCCAGCAUGGUAGCAUAGAACUUAGAAGAAGGGCUGGAAUUUAAGACAACUUCUGUCUGACACUUUCUCCGUGACAUGGAUGAAGCUAUCUGCCAAGUGUUUUUAGGGGUGGAGGGGUAUUAGGCAAUGUGUAGGAAGAGAAGGAAUGUUCAAAACAGCUGCCCAGAUAAAACAACAGCAACUUGUAUACAAGAUUUCUAUGUCCUGGGUACUAUAAAAAGUGCUUUUAUACAUAUUACCUCUUUGAUUCUCAAAACAAUCCUAUUAUUUUCGUUUUACCAAGAAAAAAACCUGGGACUUAGAGAUUAAAAACUAAGAGGCACUUAAGGACUACAGUGAGACUGGAAACUGUUUUCCAUAGUAGCAACAAUUUACAAUUUACAUAAUUGUAUCAUUUUCUCCUGCUGUGUCUCUUAGACCAUGAAUAGCAACUAAUCCAGCAUCAUGAGUUUACAGGGCUAGGGAUGGUAUAGCAGAAGGAUAAGGGAAGUAGGGAGUUAAAGGAAUAGGGAAAUGGGAAAGAAAGAGAUUCUCAUAGUUGAUCAUUGAGACCAUGGCUCUGGGAAACAAAGGUAAGGCAGACUUGGGGAAGAAAAUGAAGGAAUUAAGGAAUCUGACAAUAUUUAGCCGUAGAAAGAAAAUUAGUAAAACACAAAAUUGAGGUAGAAUGAACAUUUUUAAAAUAACAUUGAUGAAAGAGUUUAAAGUGAUGAAUGACCCAUGGCAUUGAGUUUCUUCAGAAGAA